GAUGAACGCUAGCGGCAGGCCUAAUACAUGCAAGUCGAACGGUGUAGCAAUACAUAGUGGCGCACGGGUGCGUAACACGUAUGCAACCUACCUUAUACUGGGGGAUAGCCUUUGGAAACGGAGAUUAAUACCCCAUAGUACAUUUGAUUGGCAUCAAUUGAAUGUGAAAGAUUUAUCGGUAUAAGCUGGGGAUGCGUCCAAUUAGUUAGUUGGUGAGGUAACGGCUCACCAAGACUUUGAUUGGUAGGGGAACUGAGAGGUUAAUCCCCCACACUGGCACUGAGAUACGGGCCAGACUCCUACGGGAGGCAGCAGUAGGGAAUAUUGGGCAAUGGAGGCAACUCUGACCCAGCCAUGCCGCGUGCAGGAAGAAGGCGUUAUGCGUUGUAAACUGCUUUUAUAUAGGAAGAAAUAGUCCUUGCGAGGAAAGUUGACGGUACUAUAUGAAUAAGCACCGGCUAACUCCGUGCCAGCCGCCGCGGUAA
rnacentral:rRNA from 1 species